rnacentral:rRNA from 1 species
AUUGAACGCUGGCGGCAGGCCUAACACAUGCAAGUCGAGCGAGAAAGGCCUUCGGGCUGAGUAGAGCGGCGGACGGGUGAGUAACGCGUAGGAAGCUACCCGGUAGCGGGGGAUAACUCGGGGAAACUCGAGCUAAUACCGCAUACGCCCUGAGGGGGAAAGCGGGGGACCGUAAGGCCUCGCACUAUCGGAUGCGCCUGCGUCGGAUUAGCUGGUUGGUAGGGUAACGGCCCACCAAGGCGACGAUCCGUAGCUGGGCUGAGAGGAUGAUCAGCCACACGGGGACUGAGACACGGCCCAGACUCCUACGGGAGGCAGCAGUGGGGAAUAUUGGACAAUGGGGGCAACCCUGAUCCAGCGAUGCCGCGUGGGUGAAGAAGGCCUUCGGGUUGUAAAGCCCUUUAGACUGGGAAGAAGGUUACAGGCUGAAUAAUCCUGUAGCUUGACGGUACUGGUAGAAUAAGCACCGGCAAACUCUGUGCCAGCCGCCGCAGUAA